AUUUGACGUCAAUUUAAAUUCAUCCAAACCAAAAAGUUGUGUAUUUCUGAAUCGACUUGGGUUUUAAUGAUAUAGUAUUACACAGUCCACACAUUAUCAAUUAGACCGUGUGCCGAAGGGCCGGGAAGGCUAUACAUCAACGCUAGAGACACAGCAGAGAUUGAGAUGUAAAGAGCGGUGAUUUAUUCAAAUGAAUUGAUAUAUCUUUUCAGCGAAAUUUUUGCAGUUUUUGUUGACAACAUCGUAAUCUUUAUUCAAGUAGUUCUUUACAUAAAUGUGAAAAAUUAGCUCUUUCACAGUGUGACUCCCUUUAUAUUUCUUCUCGCAUUGAAUUCCGCCUCCAAAUAAAUCGGUCGUGCGAUCUUGUCUGCGGAACUUGUCGCGAACGAAUUUGAGUUUCUUCGACCGUUGAAUCGUGACGCCAAGUUCGUUUUUCUCGAUGGACCACCACCACCGGUCCGUUUCGAAAACAAUGUACGCGUGAUGGAGCAAUUUUGCCAGAUCUGCCAUCCGUAAAGCGGAUUCGUGUAAUACCUAACCUCUAGAAU